UACAGAGACUGCAAGCGUUGUUCGGAUUUACUGGGCGUAAAGGGCGCGUAGGCGGCCACCGCAAGUCGACUGUGAAAUCUCCGGGCUUAACCCGGAAAGGUCAGCCGAUACUGCGGGGCUAGAGUGCAGAAGAGGAAAGUGGAAUUCCAAGUGUAGCGGUGAAAUGCGUAGAGAUUUGGAGGAACACCAGUGGCGAAGGCGACUUUCUGGUCUGUAACUGACGCUGAGGCGCGAAAGCGUGGGGAGCAAACAGGG
rnacentral:rRNA from 1 species